rnacentral:pre_miRNA from 1 species
GGCCCGAAUUUGAAGUAGAGUAGAUUAGGGGAAUCAUCUGACCCUUCUAAACAGCUCUACUUCGAGUUUCUGCCC